GCCCCAAGGCCCAGCUCCCCAGAGCCCUGCUCAGGGAGUGAUUGGGGCAGCUCUGGGGUGAAGGCGGGCACUUCAGGAAAGCAAGGUGCCUUCAUCAUCCCAAGAGACUAAAUCCUGGGAGCCGGGGCCUCCAGGGAGACAACUCCCAGCUCUGAAGCCUGGAACUGCAGGCUUCAGGCCACGCUCUCUGUUUUGAUCUGCUCUUGUUUCAGAGCUGGGUGCAGUGACUCACCUCUAUGAUCCCAGCACUCGGAAGGCUGAGGCAGAAGGAUUACCACAUUUUCCAGGCCAAUGUGGACUGCAAGGGUCUGAAAGGAACACGGUUCCUCUUAAAGCUACCUCAGGCUGGUAUGAAAAGGGAAACGUGGGCAGAAAUGUCCCUCAGAAAGAAGCUACUACAUCAGAGUGCAAGAGGGCUGGCGGCAGCGCUCCACGGUACAGCACUGGCCCACCUUAAGUUCUGUCCCCUGGACCAGAAGAGGAGGAAGAGUAGGAGGAAGAGGAAGAAGUAAAGGAGGAGAGAGAGGGACGAGCCUGUGCAAAGGCUCGGUGGGAAAAGGCACUUUCACCUCAGUUCUAACCCAGGCACCUACACAGUGAAAGUAAGAACUGCUUCCCACAAGCUGUUCUCCGACACCCACACUCUUACCACGGCAUGCACACCCAUAUGCACACCCAAGCAUAACAAACAAGUCAAACACUGCUUUCUGUGAAAAAACCUGCUUCAAAUCCACACAUGCAGUUUUUCACCAGGAACGCAGAGGCAGUACGGAAACAAAGGCACAAAAAAAAAAAAAAACCAACUGGCAAAUUUCCCCCACGUAAAACUUACUUCUCUAACCAGAUGAUCUGCCUGUGCCCUAAAAGAAAACUGUCGAACAGCACAGAGCUUCUUAAUAUCUCAGAGUCCGAGACAGGUCUUUCCAGAUGACUUAGACAGUCACGGGGCUGGACCAAGACCAGAUCUGCCAACCCCAGGCCAGCCGCGUCCCGCUCUGCCUGUCUUUAUUGAGUAACAAACAUUCAUUCUCUCACCCAGGUAGCCCAGAGCUGGACAAGGCAGCCCUUUUUGGAAGCCAGCCUUUCUUCUAGCUUGGGAGAAACGUAGCAAUGAGCCAAGACCUGUGGAAAAGGAACCAGAACCCACGAACAACAACACAGGCUUUCCCCCAAGAACUCAUCAACAGAAAUUAAUCCAAAAGCAAACACCAAUGUCUGCAGUAAACCUGAUUACUUAUUAAUUAUACACUGACAACGUGUAACAGCAGAAACUGACUUUGUUAUUCAAACUGACAAGCAUCUUUUCCUUUUAAAUGAGAGUCCGAUUGAUACCCAUCACUGAAUAAAGAACACAGGCCAGUUUCCCUCUAAAGACCUAGCAGGAAGUGGCACAUGCCAAACUGCCAGAAAAUGGCUAGGCUAAAGAAAAGCAAUUCCAACUGUUGGUCACUGAAAGCUUGAAAGUCCCUGGGUUAUAGCUUCACUUUCAGGCCUCAGGCAUGAGUUAGCAACCUCUAGGAUGAGGGGCUGGAGCUCUUCGCAUGCUUUCUUGAGGCAAUGACGAGCUCAGAAAAAGAGAACGUCAAGACACAGGCAGUGGGGACUCCUCUCAGCACUGUGGGUGUGAGGACAGCAGGCUGAAUAAGGCAGAGCUGGUCUCUGGAUUCCCACAGAUCCCAGUCCUCCUAUUUCCAGGUGAGCUGGAGUGAUGGCUCUGCCCUCAGCGCUCUGCUCCCUUGACUUCACCAUGCUCCCCCCAACUUGGUUACAUUGUGUCCAUUCCACGUCAGUCAUCAGCCACCAGCCUAUCUGGCGAUGUAGUCAUUUUGCUUAUGGUUUACCCCUCUCCUAAGGAACAAAAGCUUGAAAGGAGCAGAAUUAUUUUUGUUGCUCUUCGCCGAGAUCUUUUUUUUAAUUCGCUGCUAUAUUCCCAACGCCCAGACAACAUCUGGCACACGGAAGGCCCUCGAAGGCUCACUGGGUAGUCACAAGAGGACAAUGUUUGUGGUGCAUGUACUAAUCAAGUUCAUGGGUAUCAAGAUGACUUCUACCUCUUCCUAGGGUUUAAAGCAGCGAGUGACUAAACUUCGUUCCUUUUAGAGUGAAUCAAUUCCAUAUCUGGAAAGACACCCCAGGAGAUGGAGCGACUGUAUGCUGACACCAUCUUGAGUUGUUGACAACAGAUGCCCCCGAUUUAGUAACACA